UUCCGUGCCUGUUUGUUCUCAUUCUCUCUCUAUAUCUGACUUGAGUCGUAGCUCGAUUCAAUCGGACACAACAAACUUUAUAUAUAGAGAGAGAGGGUCACUCUCACUGGCACACCAAAAAACAUGCACUUCUUCUUCUCUCAUUCGGUUCCGCUCCUCGCAUAUGUUUGAAAACCCUAACCAAAACCCUUAGUAUUCUCUCUCGGGUAACGGAUUCGCAACCGCCAGCGUCAACGAUGCCUCGUCAACCUCAGCCGCCGCCGCCGCCGCGCAACCACCACCACCACCACCACCAGCAGCCGAGCUCUCUCAACGCCAAGCUCUGGCGAGCCUGCGUCGGAGGCCUCGUGGAAACCCCGACGCUGCAUUCUAGGGUUUACUACUUCCCCCAGGGGCACUUCGAACAAGCCUCUUCCGCUCCGCGAAACCUAACCCCUCGCCUUCUAACCAGGCCCUACGUGCUCUGCCGCGUCGUCUCGGUUCAAUUUCUCGCGGAUCCCCUCACCGACGAGGUUUUCACCAAGCUCAUUCUUCACCCUAUCGUCGAUUACUCUUCCGCCGCGGGGCCUUCUUCUGCUGCUGAUAAUAAUCCUCAAAACGACGACGAUGACGAUAAGAUUGAGUCGUUCGCCAAGAUUCUCACGCCUUCCGACGCCAACAACGGGGGCGGCUUCUCCGUUCCCAGAUUCUGCGCGGACUCCAUCUUUCCGCCGCUGAACUUCAAGGACGACACGCCCACGCAGACGCUCGUCGUCACCGACGUGCACGGCCACUCCUGGGAGUUCCGCCACAUCUACCGCGGCACGCCGCGCCGGCACUUGCUCACCACCGGCUGGAGCAAGUUCGUCAACAGCAAGAAGCUCGUCGCCGGAGACUCCGUCGUCUUCAUGAAAAACUCCCGCGGGGAGAAUUUCGUCGGGAUUCGCCGCGCCACGCGCGGCGCCUCCGGCGCCGGGAAGUGGCGCCUGAGGAGCAGGGCCGAGGAGGGGGAGGCCGACGCCGAGGCGGAGGAGGAGGCUGUGGUUGAGAGAGAGGUUUUCUCGAGGGACGGGAAGGGGAAGUUGCCGACGAAGGUGGUGGUGGAGGCGGCGGAGCUGGCGGUGCAGAACAUGCCGUUUGAGGUUGUUUAUUAUCCCAAGGCUGGUUGGUCGGAGUUUGUGGUGAAAUGUGAGGCGGUGGAUGAAGCAAUGAGCAUCACUUGGAGCCCUGGAAUUAGAGUGAAGAUGCCCAUUGAGACCGAGGAUUCGUCGAGGACGACGUGGUUUCCGGGUGUGGUCACUUCUGUCUCUUUUAACGAUAACGGCAAGUGGCGCGGUUCUCCAUGGCGCAUGCUUCAGAUUUUAUGGGAUGAACCUGAAGUGUUGCAGCAUGCAAAGUGGGUCAGCCCUUGGCAGGUGGAACUUGUUUCCAACACACCUGCACUUCAUUCAGCAUUCCCCCCAACAAAAAAGUUUAGAGCUGCUGAUGGUUCUGGGGUGUUUACUGAAGGGGAGGGAGGCCCCUUUUCUAUGACAGAAUUCACUAAUUCAGCAAUGGGACACAUGAAUCCGGCAUUUCUGAGUUAUGGUACUUAUCCUGCUGGCAUGCAGGGAGCCAGGCAUGAUGUAUUUUCUGCAUCAAGUUUUUCCAACUAUCCUCGUGACAUGUCUCGUCUGUGUAUGGGUAUUUCGUUUGGGAACAAUGCAGUUCCAAUGGCGAAAACUUUGUCAACAGAGCUAAAUGUUGGCAGCUCUCAAUCUGAUGAAUUGUCUCCUGAUAGCCGUAGUAGUCUCCAUUCCUGUGACACAGAAUUUGUUGGGAAUCACAAAUACAAUCCAAGAAAACCUGGGUCUGUUUCAUUUCAGCUAUUUGGUGCAGUCAUUCAAACAGAACAGCCUGAUGAAAUUGGUUUGGACAGUAAUGGUUGCUCAGGAGAUGGUGACCAAUGCCAAAGAGCCUCAAGAGUUGAGGCUUGUUACUUGUGAUAGUAGCUGUGACUAUGUCAUGCAUAUUAGUAGCUGUACAGAACUUUGUUGGGGAGUAUAAUAGGUGCUGCUUCUUAUAGCAUGAAAAUUCAAUGGCUAAAAAGGGGAAUUUGUAACUCGCCCCUCAAGUAGUAGGUACUUCAAGCAGGCUGGAAGCUGAUCCCCCUUUUGACCCAGUUGUGUGCCGUUCACACCCCCC